rnacentral:rRNA from 1 species
GACAGAGGGUGCAAACGUUGUUCGGAAUUACUGGGCGUAAAGCGCGUGUAGGCUGCUCAGAAAGUUGGAUGUGAAAGCCCUGGGCUUAACCUAGGAAGUGCAUUCAAAACUACUGAGCUGGAGUCCUGGAGAGGAAGGCGGAAUUCUCGGUGUAGAGGUGAAAUUCGUAGAUAUCGGGAGGAACACCAGUGGCGAAGGCGGCUUUCUGGCCUGUUCUUGACGCUGAGGCGCGAAAGCUAGGGGAGCAAACGGG